CACGCACCAGUUAUUAAAUUGAUUCGGCUCAAGUUCGGUUCGACGAUGCCCUAAUUCUUACCGAGAGGAAAAGCCACUGUCUUGCUUCCCGAGAAAGGUGAAACGAGAGGGCAAACAAAGCUGCGGGAAACGUGUUUAGAAAAUAUACAGAAAAACAAGAAGAGGAACAAGAACAAAAGGCAUCGUUAGCCAACUGACCCCAAAAAACGCGAAUCUUGAUGAUUCUUCAGCAUACAUAAAAUAUGACAAUCUAGGGUUAGUUUGUUCAGUAACUGGUCUGUUGGCUACUAUAUUGCUACUGAUAGUUGUCGUGCGAUGUUGCUAUUUCAACUAUCGCUAUCA